CUCUGUUAAAGAUGUUCCCAUAAAGAGGUGAGAGUCAUAUAUGGUUCACCUGUUCAACCACUUACGGUCAUCUACUAUGGGACUAGCACAGUGUAGUUACACCAAGACAAAACACACUUCCUGUUAAGAUUUCAUAAUCUGCGUAGGGAGGAGAGAUCUGUACACAUGAGAAAGUAAUGCAGACAACAAGGAUAGCUGGGAUGUGCUGCGGUCUGGAAGUCAGGGAGGUCUUCGUGGAGACUGAGGAACCCAUCUGAUUUUGGAGGAUAACAGUAUUAGAAAGAAGGACGUCUUUGAAUGGAGAGACUGGGAGCAGAGUGUUAUGUGAAAGUUGAGUGGUGUGAAUGGUUAAGAUUGUAGAAGAGAUAGAGGCCAAGGUAGAAAGCUGAGACUUGAUCCUAACAGGCAAUGAAAAUUUUCAAUUGAGGUAAAAAGACUAGGCAGGAAACUACUGUAAAUGCAGAUAUAGUUGAUAUUCCCUGUAAAUAAUGUGGAUUCAGGAAACUACAGAAAGAAAAAAAUCCAAAGAAACAAAAGAAUCAGGAUGACAUAUCUAUCAGAAGCCGAAGAAUUUCAAAUUUCAAAUGUGAAAGGAGGAAAACCCAAAAUGAUUCUGAAUUGCUCCACCAAAAUGGAGUUCGCACUUCAAAUCAGAACAAAGUAAAAAGGAAAUGUCCACAGCAUGAAAAGGAUCAAGUUUAAAUAAGUCACAGUGUGUAAGAGCAGGCAUGCUUCUCUGGGUGUUCCAGAGAGAGAUCCCUUGGGGAGAAGGAAGAUUCGAAGCACAGAGCCUCGUUUUUAAUCUGGUUCAGCCAUGGUUCCCCACAUUGGUGGUCAGAGAUGGGACCAUGGAGGUUUUACUCCUGGCUCAUCUGCAAAGUGAACAAUUAAUUAAAGACCAACCAGGUUGUUUUUUCCCCCUCCUAUAGCACCAUAGCUUUGAGACCAAGCCCCCUAACCUUACCAUUUCGGCAGCGGCUGAAAGGUCUAGACUUUGCAGUUUGCCUGCCAGUUCGUCCAGAAGACGGGCCUGCUCUGCCUGUUUUUCCCGGAACUGGGUCUCCUGCUCCAUCAUCAAGUGUUCCACGCUUUCCCUGGUGAUCUCCGACUGCUCCACAGUGUUGUUGGGGUCAGUGGUGGAGGCAUUCACCCUCUUCUCUGCCUCUAGGGAGAUCUGGAAAUACUUGGUGAUGCUAUCCAGGGCACCUAGGGCACAAAGUCAAAUUACCCACAGUGAAUCCCCUUGUACUCAAUCUCAUCAAGCAAUGUCCAUCUGUGGUGUCUUCCAGCCUAAAGGUACUAUAUGGUUGGUUUUAAAAUUUAAGAAAUAAAAUCAUUGAGAAA